rnacentral:tRNA from 2 species
UCUCCUAUAGUCCAAUGGUAGAACGGCAGACUGUUAAUCUGUAUGUUGUAGGUUCGAGCCCUACUGGGAGAG